GCUCCUUCUGGCCCCAGUUCUGCCCCUUUUGCCCCAAUUCUGCUCCUUCUGGCCCCAAUUCUGCCCCUUUUGCCCCAAUUCUGCCCUUUUUGGCCCCAAUUCUGCUCCUUUUGCCCCAAUUCUGCUCCUUAUGGGUUCAGUUUCCCUCCUUAUGGGCUCAGUUGGGCUCUUCUGGCCCCAAUUCUGCUCCUUUUGGCCCCAAUUCUGCACUUUUUUGCCCCAAUUCUGCCCCUUUUUGGCCCCAAUUCUGCUCCUUUUUACCCCAAAUCCACUCCUUUUGACCCUAAUUUGUCUCCUUUUGCCCCAAAUCUGCUCCUUUUUGGCGAAAAUCUGCUCCUUUUUGCCCCAAAUGAGACAAUUUUGGCCCCAAUUCUGCCCCUUUUGCCCCAAAUCUGCUCCUUUUGGCCCCAUUUCUGCCCCUUCUGACCCCAAUUCCGUUCCUUUCAACCCCAAUUCUUUUCCUUUUUACCCAACUCUGCUCUUUUUUGCCCCAAUUCUGCUCUUUUAUUCUGAUUCUGCCCUUUUUUUGGUCCCAUCUUGGCUCUUUCUGACCCAACUCCACACUUAUUUAACCCCAAUUUUUCUUUUUUCUUACCCAAUUCUGUCCAUUCUCACCCCAUUAUUCCCACCCUUCCCCUUUCGUUUCCCAUUUCCCUCUUUUUCUCCCCAUUUUGACCCAAACCUCCCAAUUUUCACCCCAUUCUUUCCUCCCCCCAUCCCUCCCCGUUUCUCCCUUUCUCACCCCAUUCCCCCUCAUUUUUUCCCCACUCUCCCCCAAUUUUUCCCCAUUUUCACCCCAUUUCCCCCCCGUUCUCCCACCUCCUCUGCCCCCUUUUGCCCAAAAUCGUCUCUUUUUGCCCCAGAAUAUGAUCACAGGGACGGCCCCUCUGGAUGGCUGCAUUCUGGUGGUGGCAGCAACUGAUGGGCAAAUGCCACAGACCAGAGAGCAUCUCCUGCUGGCCAGGCAGGUGAGCUGUGGGGUGGAUGUGGGGUGAUAUGGGGUGGAUAUGGGGGGAUAUGGGGGGAUAUGGGGUGAUAU
rnacentral:lncRNA from 1 species